AUUGAACGCUGGCGGAAUGCUUUACACAUGCAAGUCGAACGGCAGCACGGACUUCGGUCUGGUGGCGAGUGGCGAACGGGUGAGUAAUACAUCGGAACGUGCCCAGUCGUGGGGGAUAACGUAGCGAAAGCUACGCUAAUACCGCAUACGAUCUAAGGAUGAAAGCGGGGGACCGUAAGGCCUCGCGCGAUUGGAGCGGCCGAUGGCAGAUUAGGUAGUUGGUGGGGUAAAGGCUCACCAAGCCGACGAUCUGUAGCUGGUCUGAGAGGACGACCAGCCACACUGGGACUGAGACACGGCCCAGACUCCUACGGGAGGCAGCAGUGGGGAAUUUUGGACAAUGGGCGCAAGCCUGAUCCAGCCAUUCCGCGUGCAGGAUGAAGGCCCUCGGGUUGUAAACUGCUUUUGUACGGAACGAAAAGGCUCUGGUUAAUACCUGGGGCUCAUGACGGUACCGUAAGAAUAAGCACCGGCUAACUACGUGCCAGCCGCCGCAGUAA
rnacentral:rRNA from 1 species